UACGGAGGAUCCGAGCGUUAUCCGGAUUUAUUGGGUUUAAAGGGUGCGUAGGUGGUCUUAUAAGUCAGUGGUGAAAGUUUGCGGCUUAACCGUAAAAUUGCCAUUGAAACUGUAGGACUUGAGUACAAAUGAGGUAGGCGGAAUGUGUUGUGUAGCGGUGAAAUGCUUAGAUAUAACACAGAACACCAAUUGCGAAGGCAGCUUACUGGGAUGUAACUGACACUGAGGCACGAAAGCGUGGGGAUCAAACAGG
rnacentral:rRNA from 1 species